rnacentral:rRNA from 1 species
UACGUAGGGUGCAAGCGUUAAUCGGAAUUACUGGGCGUAAAGCGUGCGCAGGCGGUUAUAUAAGACAGUUGUGAAAUCCCCGGGCUCAACCUGGGAACUGCAUCUGUGACUGUAUAGCUAGAGUACGGUAGAGGGGGAUGGAAUUCCGCGUGUAGCAGUGAAAUGCGUAGAUAUGCGGAGGAACACCGAUGGCGAAAGCGGCUCACUGGACCAUAACUGACGCUGAUGCACGAAAGCUAGGGGAGCAAACAGG